rnacentral:rRNA from 1 species
UACGUAGGGGGCAAGCGUUGUCCGGAUUUAUUGGGCGUAAAGAGCGUGUAGGCGGUCAGGUAGGUCCGUUGUGAAAACUCGAGGCUCAACCUCGAGACGCCGAUGGAAACCAUCUGAUUAGAGUCCGGAAGAGGAGAGUGGAAUUCCUGGUGUAGCGGUGAAAUGCGCAGAUAUCAGGAAGAACACCCGUGGCUAAGGCGGCUCUCUAGUACGGUACUGACGCUGAGACGCGAAAGCGUGGGGAGCGAACAGG